rnacentral:rRNA from 1 species
AGCGAACGCUGGCGGCAGGCCUAACACAUGCAAGUCGAACGGAUCCUUCGGGAUUAGUGGCGGACGGGUGAGUAACACGUGGGAACGUGCCCUUUGGUUCGGAACAACUCAGGGAAACUUGAGCUAAUACCGGAUGUGCCCUUCGGGGGAAAGAUUUAUCGCCAUUGGAGCGGCCCGCGUCUGAUUAGCUAGUUGGUGAGGUAACGGCCCACCAAGGCGACGAUCAGUAGCUGGUCUGAGAGGAUGAUCAGCCACACUGGGACUGAGACACGGCCCAGACUCCUACGGGAGGCAGCAGUGGGGAAUCUUGCGCAAUGGGCGAAAGCCUGACGCAGCCAUGCCGCGUGAAUGAUGAAGGUCUUAGGAUUGUAAAAUUCUUUCAGCGGGGACGAUAAUGACGGUACCCGCAGAAGAAGCUCCGGCGAACUUCGU